GCAAAAUACGUGCAGACGAGUCGAAUAUCAAAUUCUCCUUUUUAAUAGCAGUUGUUGAUAUACUGUCAAAUUUACCAGGAAUACAGAACAUGCGGGAGACCAGGUACUGAUUUAACAGCAAGUCCUGGUAGAAUCAUGGUGGCCGCAUUGAAUCGACAACUCAAGAACUGGUAGAAGCUAGGUAGCAAAUAUGAUUAAAUAACAAGAUUCGCUUGUGAACAGGUAUUCAAUUCAAACUUCUCACAAUUCAAGAAAUGAGGUGAAAUUUGGGACUGAUUUCAAGGUAUGGAAGAUUAUUCUGCUGAAACAGAAAAAAAAAAAUAUUCAAAAUAAGUUAUUUAUUUUGAGCGGAUAAUUUUGGCUGCAGACUGUCUGCAAGAGUUCCAUUGAUAGCAAGAGUGGGUAAAAAAAACUUGCCAAGACCUGUAGCUGAAUAGUCGAAGUCUCCUUUAACCUCCUACCAUCUCAAUCACCAGCUAUUUGUCUGUUUUAUCAAUUGAUAAUAGAGUAUGAUUUUGUGAUUUGGCUCCAUUCACAAAAAAAAAAAAAACACAUCGAAAUACAUCAGAGAACUUUAAAAUGUGAUUAAAUAGAAAGUAUAAGUGGGAUGAUACCAAGUUGCUGUGGCUGAUAGAUUUGGCUGAUAUGUCCUGUUAGGGUUUAUUCAGAGGAAGUUGAAAUAUUUGUGACUUUGAAAUUUAAAAAAAGAAGUGAUAAAAAAAGUGAAAUUGUGCAAAAUUUGAAAGCUGUGAUGGAUAUACCAAAAAAUAGCUCAUAAAAAAGGGAUGAGUUCAUCAAUAUAGUGCCAGAUAGAUAGUGAAAUAUUGCAGAAAGUGAAAUUGCAGAAAUACUGCAGGAUUUAUUGGGAUAUUAUCUAGUAAUAGUUCAAGAGACUGGUUUAAAUAGAAAAGUGAAGUGAAUUUGACAACCAGUUUACAUUGUGAGUGUAUAUAAAUAAAAUAAGAUGGAAAAAUUUCCACAGAAUAUGAAUAGGGAGGCUUUUCAUAUGCACUUGUGUUUUAUAUAAAAGUGUUUUUUUAAAUAAUUUCUGUGGAUUGAUGAAUCAGAAUCAGAAUUCUGGAGGCUAAUCAAUUUGUUGAUUAUUUUUUUAUCUUUAGAAAAACUCAUCUGAGUAGAUACUAGAGAGUAGAUUUUAGGAAGUAUUUGCUCAAGCAAAAGGAUAAAUGUGAGAAUUAUGCGUUACCACGGAAGCCAUGGAUAUAAUCCCUGAGGAGUGGGGCGGUAUACAUCUUCAGCCAAAUUGGUAUAAUGUGUUUACGCUUACACUAAGCAUGCAUCCUUUGAUGAACACCUGUGUACAUAUUGUGUAAACCUCUUCCAGUGCUGUGUAAAUAUUGUGUAGCUAUGUAUCACAAUUCACACGCUCGAACCUGGGACCGUCGUAAAAGUAGGUGGCUAGCAUGUUUUAUAGUAUGCUUUACAGCUUUACAUAUUGAUUUCAAUUUUAUCUUGCAGUGUGCUUUAACCCUUGCCAUGCUAAAUAUCUUAAAUGGACUUGUCCAUCCUUCUAUUUU